rnacentral:rRNA from 1 species
CAGCAGCCGCGGUAAUACGUAGGUCCCGAGCGUUGUCCGGAUUUAUUGGGCGUAAAGGGAGCGCAGGCGGUUUAGUAAGUCUGAAGUUAAAGGCAUUGGCUCAACCAAUGUAUGCUUUGGAAACUGUUAGACUUGAGUGCAGAAGGGGAGAGUGGAAUUCCAUGUGUAGCGGUGAAAUGCGUAGAUAUAUGGAGGAACACCGGUGGCGAAAGCGGCUCUCUGGUCUGUCACUGACGCUGAGGCUCGAAAGCGUGGGUAGCGAACAGGAUUAGAUACCCGCGUAGUCCCUGUCUCUUAUACC